rnacentral:rRNA from 1 species
AUGACAAAAUAUGCUCUGGUCAUUAUGAUUGGAGUGAAGGAGGGGAAUCUGACCCUUUUUAUGGGCUACCACAAGAUCUAUGAGAAAACCAAGCCAUAUUAUUUUGCUGGACCGCAAUAUCUGAAGUGUAAUCUUGCUCAGGCACAAGAUAGUCGGGUGGAAAUUAAGUACAACGACUUGUAUCAAAACUGGAAUCUGGGUAAAGUGCCUGAUGGAUCUUCUUAUUCAAGUGUCUGCAAUUGCGUGCUGUUUCUUGGAACUCAGAACAUAAACAGAUGGCCUCUAAAAGACAUAAAAGGGAAACAGCAGUAG